rnacentral:rRNA from 1 species
AACGAACGCUGGCGGCAUGCCUAACACAUGCAAGUCGAACGAGAUCUUCGGAUCUAGUGGCGCACGGGUGCGUAACGCGUGGGAAUCUGCCCCUUGCUUCGGAAUAACAGUGAGAAAUUACUGCUAAUACCGGAUGAUGUCUUCGGACCAAAGAUUUAUCGGCAAGGGAUGAGCCCGCGUAGGAUUAGGUAGUUGGUGGGGUAAUGGCCUACCAAGCCGACGAUCCUUAGCUGGUCUGAGAGGAUGAUCAGCCACACUGGGACUGAGACACGGCCCAGACUCCUACGGGAGGCAGCAGUGGGGAAUAUUGGACAAUGGGCGAAAGCCUGAUCCAGCAAUGCCGCGUGAGUGAUGAAGGCCUUAGGGUUGUAAAGCUCUUUUACCAGGGAUGUUAAUGACAGUACCUGGAGAAUAAGCUCCGGCUAACUCCGUG